rnacentral:rRNA from 1 species
GACGUAGGGGGCCAGCGUUGUUCGGAAUUACUGGGUGUAAAGGGUUCGUAGGCGGUGCGGCAAGUCGGGAGUGAAAUCUCUGGGCUCAACCCAGAGGCUGCUUCCGAAACUGCUGUGCUUGAGUGUGGGAGAGGCGCGUGGAAUUCCCGGUGUAGUGGUGAAAUGCGUAGAUAUCGGGAGGAACACCAGUGGCGAAGGCGACUACCUGGCCUGUUCUUGACGCUGAGGCGCGAAAGCUAGGGAGCAACGGG